CACCGCGGUUAUACGAGAGGCCCGAGUUGACGUAUACCGGCGUAAAAUGUGGUUAUUAUAGUAUUUCACUAAAGCUAAACAUCUUCAAAGCUGUCAUAUGUUAUCGAAGACAGGAAAAUCUCCCACGAAAGUGGCUUUAAUACCUACGUACCACUAAAGCUAGGGAA
rnacentral:rRNA from 1 species